rnacentral:rRNA from 1 species
CCUACGGGUGGCAGCAGUGAGGAAUAUUGGUCAAUGGACGAGAGUCUGAACCAGCCAAGUAGCGUGAAGGAUGACUGCCCUAUGAGUUGUAAACUUCUUUUAUAAAGGAAUAAAACCAGGCACGUGUGCCUUUUUGCAUGUACUUUAUGAAUAAGGAUCGGCUAACUCCGUGCCAGCAGCCGCGGUAAUACGGAGGAUCCGAGCGUUAUCCGGAUUGAUUGGGUUUAAAGGGAGCGUAGAUGGGUUGUUAAGUCAGUUGUGAAAGUUGGCGGCUCAACCGUAAAAUUGCAAUUGAUACUGGAAGGCUUGAGUACAGUUGAGGUAGGCGGAAUUCGUGGUGUAGCGGUGAAAUGCUUAGAGAUCACGAAGAACCCCGAUUGCGAAGGCAGCUUACUAAACUGUGACUGACAUUGAUGCUCGAAAGUGUGGGUAUCAAACAGGAUUAGAUACCCCAGUAGUC